GGCUCCGAAUGCUGGAAGAAACUCCAGCAGAAUAAUUUGCCAGGGGAAGGCGCACAGAGUGGCAAUUGCUCACGGCACAUCUGAACGGGGACGGCUCCUGGGAAAACAAGCUCCCUGACAACGUGCCGGCCCACUGGCCUCUCUCCGCCACUCACCCCAGUGCUAAGGAGGGUUCUGCUCAGAGCGAGACUGCUCUGGCACUGAUGGGGAUCGUCUGGGUCCUGCUGGAACACUUCAUUCAUGGAACAAAGACUCUGAGCACCAGCCAGGAGCACAAGCAGUCACACUUUUGGCAGUGGCUGCGUUUUUCUACCGAUAGCCACAGCUCGUGUCUUGUGGCCCUUCCUCCACGGUUGCCAUGCUGAAUUGUGGCAAACUGUUCAUUCCCCUUGCCCUUUGAGGCUGUCUUAGUCGAUUUGGGCUGGUUACACAGCAGGCAUUUAUUUCUCACGGUGGAGGCUGGGAAGUCCAAGGUCAAGGUGCUGGCAGAUCUGGUGUCUGAUGAGGCCUGCUUCCUGGUCUGCAGAUGGCUGUCUUCUCGCAUCCUCACACGGCGGAGAGCACAGCGUGAGAGAGCCAGCUCUCUUGUGUCUUUUUAUCAGGACACUAACCCCAUUCACGAGCGUUCCACUCUCAUUGGCCUGAUCGAUUGCCUCCCGAAAGCCCUGCCUCCUAAUAUCACGCAUCAGUGUAUGCCUUUUGGGGGGGGGCCACCGACACGCAGCCUAUGGCACAUGCCUAGGAGUGGCCCCAGCAUCCUGUUCUCGAGAGCCCCUGGGUGUGUCACCACCAUUCCAUAUGAGCUCCCUUAGCCCUGCCUCCACCUCUGUAAGUUGCCCCUCAGUGACGCCGUCUUCAAUUAAACCUUCUGAGUGUGUGAUUUGCUCCCGCUGGGUCCCUGACAGAUAGAGUUUCAUUUUCUUGACUUCGGCUCCUCACUCCAGUCCAGUGAAAUCUUUUCGAGGCUUAGUUUUUCAUCCAUCAUAAUAGCUUUUAUUUCCAGCUUUGUUUUACCUGGAAACUUGCUAAACAAGCCCAAUUUCCUGUUCAGACUCAGCCAAGUCCUGAACUGCCCAAAUGCCAAAAGGAGAUCUGGCGUGAAAAGCUCACCCUCUGAGUAAGUGAGGAUCACAAGCCUUCCCCGAACAAAUUAGAUGUGCUGGAGUAUUAAAGUGGGCUGAAGAAUUGUUCGCCCGGUGUGGGGGGAGGGGUGGGAGAGGAAGGAGAGGCACCUGCAGAGAGAGGGGAG